rnacentral:rRNA from 1 species
AUUGAACGCUGGCGGCAUGCCUUACACAUGCAAGUCGAACGGUAACGCGGGGGCAACCCUGGCGACGAGUGGCGAACGGGUGAGUAAUACAUCGGAACGUACCCAGUAGUGGGGGAUAGCUCGGCGAAAGCCGGAUUAAUACCGCAUACGACCUACGGGUGAAAGCGGGGGAUCGAAAGACCUCGCGCUAUUGGAGCGGCCGAUGUCGGAUUAGCUAGUUGGUGAGGUAAAGGCUCACCAAGGCUACGAUCCGUAGCUGGUCUGAGAGGACGACCAGCCACACUGGGACUGAGACACGGCCCAGACUCCUACGGGAGGCAGCAGUGGGGAAUUUUGGACAAUGGGCGAAAGCCUGAUCCAGCCAUGCCGCGUGUGUGAAGAAGGCCUU